rnacentral:rRNA from 1 species
AGAGUUUGAUCAUGGCUCAGGACGAACGCUGGCGGCGUGCUUAACACAUGCAAGUCGAGCGAGAGGACAAGAGAAGCUUGCUUCUUUUGGAAUCGAGUGGCAAACGGGUGAGUAACACGUAAACAACCUGCCUUCAGGAUGGGGACAACAGACGGAAACGACUGCUAAUACCGAAUACGCUUGGGAGACCGCAUGAUCUUCCAAGGAAAGGGUGGCCUCUACCUGUAAGCUAUCGCCUGAAGAGGGGUUUGCGUCUGAUUAGGCAGUUGGUGAGGUAACGGCCCACCAAACCUACGAUCGGUAGCCGGUCUGAGAGGAUGAACGGCCACACUGGAACUGAGACACGGUCCAGACUCCUACGGGAGGCAGCAGUGGGGAAUCUUCCGCAAUGGGCGAAAGCCUGACGGAGCAACGCCGCGUGAGUGAUGACGGCCUUCGGGUUGUAAAGCUCUGUGAUCGGGGACGAACGGUCCGUAAGCCAAUACCUUAUAGAAGUGACGGUACCCGAAUAGCAAGCCACGGCUAACUACGUGCCAGCAGCCGCGGUAAUACGUAGGUGGCAAGCGUUGUCCGGAAUUAUUGGGCGUAAAGCGCGCGCAGGCGGCUUUCUAAGUCCAUCUUAAAAGUGCGGGGCUUAACCCCGUGAUGGGAUGGAAACUGGGAAGCUGGAGUAUCGGAGAGGAAAGUGGAAUUCCUAGUGUAGCGGUGAAAUGCGUAGAGAUUAGGAAGAACACCGGUGGCGAAGGCGACUUUCUGGACGACAACUGACGCUGAGGCGCGAAAGCGUGGGGAGCAAACAGGAUUAGAUACCCUGGUAGUCCACGACGUAAACGAUGAAUACUAGGUGUAGGAGGUAUCGACCCCUUCUGUGCCGGAGCUAACACAAUAAGUAUUCCGCCUGGGGAGUACGAUCGCAAGAUUAAAACUCAAAGGAAUCGACGGGGGCCCGCACAAGCGGUGGAGCACGUGGAUUAAUUCGACGCAACGCGAAGAACCUUACCAGGUCUUGACAUCCCUCUGAAUACUGUAGAGAUACGGUAGGCCUUCGGGACAGAGGAGACAGGUGGUGCAUGGUUGUCGUCAGCUCGUGUCGUGAGAUGUUGGGUUAAGUCCCGCAACGAGCGCAACCCUUAUUGACAGUAGCCAGCAGGUAAGGCUGGGCACUCUGUUAAGACUGCCGGGGAUAACUCGGAGGAAGGUGGGGAUGACGUCAAAUCAUCAUGCCCCUUAUGACCUGGGCUUCACACGUGCUACAAUGGCUGUCACAAAGAGAAGCGAAGCUGCGAAGUGGAGCGAAGCUCAAAAAGGCAGUCCCAGUUCGGAUUGCAGGCUGCAACCCGCCUGCAUGAAGCUGGAAUCGCUAGUAAUCGCGAAUCAGCAUGUCGCGGUGAAUACGUCCCGGGCCUUGUACACACCGCCCGUCACACCAUGGGAGUUUAGAGCACCCGAAGUCAGUGAGGCAACCGCAAGGAGCCAGCUGCCGAAGGUGAGCUAAGUAACUGGGGUGAAGUCGUAACAAGGUA